UGCCCGCAUCCUGAUUUACCUAAACUCCACCCAGGCUGCGUGCGUAGCCAUGAAAAACCGGUAUUUUCUAUCCAUGAAUCACACUC
rnacentral:sRNA from 1 species